rnacentral:snRNA from 1 species
GUGCUCGCUUCGGCAGCACAUACACUAAAAUUGGAACGAUACAGAGAAGAUUAGCAUGGCCCCUGCACAAGGAUGACACGCAAAUCCAUGAAGCGUUCCAUAUUUAA